GGUAGAGACUUUUUUUUUAAUGGCCACUCAGACAUUUCACCAGCCACUGUUUUUUUCUUUCAAUUACAAACCCCACCAGUACAAGAAAAUAACAUAAAAUACAGAAUUUAUUCUUAACUCUAUGAAAACCAAUUUACUGACAGUAAGUUUACCGUACAUAUGUACGUAUUCAAACUAAUUUAACAUAACAAAGCAUGGAUACCUUAACAGAGGUGUAGAGCAAUAAGUUCACUUGAAGUAAUUACUAACAGCAAAUUUAACUACACAACCAAAACAUUCUUGCAAUCAUUUCCUAUGUUGAACAUUUCCACAGUUUGACUACA